AACAUACUCCCUCCGUCCGAAAAAACUUGUCAUCAAAAUGGACAAAAAGGAAUGUAUCUAGAACUAAAAUACAUCUAGAUACAUCCCCUUUUAUUCAUUUUGAUGACAAGUAUUUUCGGACGGAGGGAGUAGGUC
rnacentral:pre_miRNA from 1 species